UGCGAAGAGCGCUCAGGGCCGCGUCUUGGCGUGUCGCCGCCGUUCUUUCUGCUUUCUGUGGGGCUCACUUCGUCCCGGCGUCUCCUGUUUCUCACCCUUCGCCUGGACUUGGACCGACUCCCGCUCCACACACACAGCCCUUCACCAUUCCGGCCUUCAGAAGAACUGCGGGCUCUGGGCUGACACCUGACUGCAGCACCGUGAGAGAUGGGCAGACGGAGGGCCGGCCCAGGAAAAGAUACCUGCCCUGCUGCCAGCACUCAGAUUCUGGUCAAAAAGGAAUGUUCUCAAUCUGAACCAACAAGACAGAGGGGAGUGCUUUGAAGACUGGAAACUCUGAAAAUUCUUUAGGAGGCAGAAUUAAUGACCCAGAGACUGCUUCU